rnacentral:lncRNA from 1 species
ACGGUCAAAAUACCUUUGGUUCACUGAGAAAUGCUUUCAUGCUCGGGUG